UGGAUCACCUCCUAACAGGGAGACAACAAAAUGUUUAAUAUUAUUAUUUUGUCACCUUAGGUCGAUCGGUAUCUCACAUUCUUAAAUUAAUUAAGAAUUUCAUUUCCUAAGUUUUUCUAGGUCACACCCAUUAUUUUUCCAGGGCCAUUAGCUCAGGUGGUUAGAGCGCACCCCUGAUAAGGGUGAGGUCCCUGGUUCAAGUCCAGGAUGGCCCAUAUCUCUAUGUUGGGGGUAUAGCUCAGUUGGUAGAGCGCCUGCUUUGCAAGCAGGAUGUCAGCGGUUCGAGUCCGCUUACCUCCACUGAUUACCACCUCUACCAUAAUCCGUAGAAAGGAAAUGUUUUGAGUUGUGAUCAAAUUCUGAACGAAUCUAGCUUCCUAAUGAAAUUAUUAAGAUGCUGGACUCAUUGAAUUAAUUUCAUUGUUUUCAGAGAACCUUGACAACUGCAUAGAUUUUUUUAAAGACAAUAAGCAUUUUUAAUGAUGCAGAUUUAUUAUUUGUGCAAAUGCAUUAAUAACAAUUCUAUUAAGCUGAUGCUUCAAUUUUGAAGUUAUUGGUCAAGCUACAAAGGGCUCACGGAGGAUACCUAGGCACACAGAGGCGAUGAAGG
rnacentral:tRNA from 1 species